rnacentral:rRNA from 1 species
GAUGAACGCUGGCGGCGUGCCUAAUACAUGCAAGUCGAGCGAACGGACGAGAAGCUUGCUUCUCUGAUGUUAGCGGCGGACGGGUGAGUAACACGUGGAUAACCUACCUAUAAGACUGGGAUAACUUCGGAAAACCGGAGCUAAUACCGGAUAAUAUUUUGAACCGCAUGGUUCAAAAGUGAAAGACGGUCUUGCUGUCACUUAUAGAUGGAUCCGCGCUGCAUUAGCUAGUUGGUAAGGUAACGGCUUACCAAGGCAACGAUGCAUAGCCGACCUGAGAGGGUGAUCGGCCACACUGGAACUGAGACACGGUCCAGACUCCUACGGGAGGCAGCAGUAGGGAAUCUUCCGCAAUGGGCGAAAGCCUGACGGAGCAACGCCGCGUGAGUGAUGAAGGUCUUCGGAUCGUAAAACUCUGUUAUUAGGGAAGAACAUAUGUGUAAGUAACUGUGCACAUCUUGACGGUACCCAAUCAGAAAGCCACGGCUAACUACGUG